ACAACAAUAACAACAAGCACUAACCCUAAUAACAAUAAAACGUAACGACUCGAACACAACAACAAUAAUAAGUAAGAGCCGCAGCUAACUGAUUUUUUUGGAGAAGGUUAAAUAAUAAUACAACAAGCAAACAGUCCGAUUUGAUGAAGAGAACAACAAAAACUGCUAAAGCAGCUGCCAACAUCAAUGACUACCUGUUGCUGACCCGCUUCCAAAGCAAUCCGUUUGCUAUUCGCUUGAGAUUUUCAAGCACCCUAACAGCAAAAUAACAACAACAAAGCUGCAAUAAAAAUAACAAACAACCAGAACCUAAAAGGGGAAGCUUAAGCUUCCCCUUUGUUCAUUAAGCUGUUACUUACUUG
rfam:Oblitimonas alkaliphila strain E5571 chromosome.